AAAAAAAAAAAGAGAAAAAAUUGGAGAAAAGAUUAAAAAGAGAAAGUCCAUGUCAAAACUGCCAUAAAACUUCCAAUUUAAGAAAAAAAAAAUUUCUCCAGUCAUCUUCCACCGCUGAUAACAACCAUCUAACGCCGCAUCAGAACACACGCAUCACCUCAUAGAGAACCAAUCCACUAAAUCGCCACCUACGCGCCUCUGCGUGAAUACCACGUGCUGAAUGGAGACGAGUGGCGAGCGGCACAGUGGGCAAUUGAAAUUGCGAUGAUCAAGCCAUCCAUCAAAGCAUUCCUUGUGAAAGACAUGGCGGCAAUCAAGCUU
rnacentral:misc_RNA from 1 species